GCCUCACUUGAAAAAGUGCUUUGAAGGAAUUGCUAGUGUGGAGUUUACCGAAGUCUUGGAUAUUACGCACAUGAAAAGCAGCGAAGGAGAAGUCAUAGCCCUCAUUAACACAAUAUCAACAGCUAAAGCUAGAGGUCAAGUGGAAAAAUGGCUAGUU